rnacentral:lncRNA from 1 species
AUAAAGCAUCCCUUCCCGUGCCCUAGUCUCCCAAUGCCAUCCACAGCAUGUCACCUUUCUCCUUAAGAUUUGGGGACAACUUGCCCCUAGCAAGCGCCUUGUCGCUUAAGUGACCACUAGGCGUGUUCAGUCUAACCAUUGAAAUAAACAGAGCAAACAGUAAAACCAACUUUUAAUGGUACACAAAGGCAUAUCAACAUAACAUGCAUAAUUUUGCAGGACUUAAUGCGCUAGCAUAGCAAAGCUUGACAGACUGCAGUCACAAGGCAACUAACAAGUUUACCUUUAUGAGAGCCAUGUUCUCUGACUCUUGCUUCUUUGCAAGGUUUUUCAGUUUCUUCAUUGUCUCACACUCGUCAUCUCCUUGUUUUACCCAGCGGAACUCUUUCUUGAGGCCAGGGCAGGGAGGUCGAUCCCUGAACAUCUCAGCCUUUGCAUGGGUAGCUUUUACAGGCCUUGGCAUCCCACCAAUUAUGAAUGGGAAAUCAGUCAUCAACUCGACAGCAGCCUUGGCCUGCAUAUCAUCAUCCAGUUCUACCAAUGCAGCAGAAGGUACAUCAUAAGGGAUUGUGUAGUUGACGAUGAACUCCACAUUGACAACAUUUGCACACUGGGCAAGAGCUGCUUUGAUGACUGGGGUGGUAACUUGUGGAGAAAGCUGGUCCAAAUAUAUGGUCCUCCUAACCUUCUCCUUGAAAUCAGCAUAGUCCUUGGAAGCCUGUUCUUGUGAUGCCUCCAUAGAAGGUCAACCUGUGCAGGAAUAAGAAUAAGGUUCAAUGCUUACUUGCCCCAAUUUGUAAUUAUUUUGUGCAAGGAGUACACAAGGAUUUAGGAGAACACAUCACAGGAUUUAGAGUUGAAAAAAAAUAAAAGGUGACAUAUACAAAUACAUAUAAUUGAUCUUGUUUGUGUCCCUUACAUAUCAAAUCUGUUUAUCUCUUGGCCAUUAGGUACAAAGAAGCAUCCCAGUUAUCAUUCUAAGGGCCGCAACAGAACAAGAGCGUCCUUUGAUUUUGCAAACAGAAAGAAAAAGGUGGUAAAAUCAAGAACUAAUUGGAUGUAUUAGAUUAGAUUCUCAGGGCACAUUCACAUGAAUCAAAAGCAGACUCGAAAAACAAUGAAUUCAUCUUAGGAAAGAAGGUCAGUUAGGGUUACUCACCAGGACAGGAAAGGAUCAAAGGAUGAAAGGAAUAAGGAUAACACUUAGGGUAGGAACCAGUUUCGUGCUGAACCUAUCAAAAGGAGUGAUAACACAAUCGAUUCUAAAUGGGCCUCUCAUUACACAUUGGAAUUUAGCAGUCAGCUAGACUAUGCAGGCAAACAAAUAAUCCCUGCCUCUAGCGAGAUUACGAUUCUCAAAGCACCAGACUGAGCCUCCACAUUUUCUAAAAAAAUAAGGAAGGAAAUCGUAACUCGUAAGCAUCCUGUUCUACGACCGCGCCACGCUUCUGGACCGGACACAUAGAUGGGCAGGCAUAAACCCUAGAAACAUAACUCUGUCAGCCAGAGGGAGCAGGGGAUUCAAUUUUGACAUACGUGGGGAGGUGUCAGGCACGACGAGGGCGAUGCCGUGGGCGGCGGCGGCGCGCUGGGCGCCGGACUUCAUGAUGAAAUUCUCGUCGUUGCAGGUGAGGCCCGAGAGCCAGUACAGCACCUGCAAAGCAUCAAUACGACACCGCGUCACAUUCCGCGGCACAGAUUAGCCCAGAGAGAGAGAGCGGGAGGACAGGGGAGCGCGGGCGGCGGCGCACUCACGGGUAUGUUGGACGCCGGGGACGGGGGCAUGUAGAUGGAGAAGGUCAUGGCGCAGCCGAGGGUGGCGCCACGAGACGCGUUCACCAAACCCUCGUGGCGCAGAGUCCGUCCGUGUCGCUGGAACUAACCCGAGCGUUGUCAUAUCCAGGAGCCGAGCGGCGUCGGAGCCGAGCCGCUGGACCAGACGCGCGAUUGCUUCCGUUGGAUUUGAAGCGGCCGACGCGUGGAGGCCGAGCGGACGGGUGUGCACCGGAUGCAUGGGUUCGCUGGAACAGGGCCCCCAAAUUGGAGAGGAGCCCACCAACCAGAAUGAUUUUUAUAGGCAGCGCAGGGCCAGGUGCCAGGUCUCGCAGAACGUCAGCCGCCGCCAGUACGUACUCCAUCGGCCUCCUGAUCCCAUCGACCACGCGCCGCCGAUGGCUUCUUCGCCGACGACGGUGAGGGAGGUGGCGAGCGAGGGAGUGGCUGCGCCCACGGCGCCGGAGGCGGCGAGACAAGGGGAGGUGAAGCGGUCUUCGCCGACCGCAUGGGAGACGGCCAUGCUGCCGCUCAGCAUGGUCGCCGUUCAGGUGAUCGUCGUGGGGAUGUUGCUGCUCUCGAAGCUCACUCUCGGUGCUGGAAUGAGCCCCUUCGUCAUCCUUGUGUACCGCAACAUGAUCGCCGCAGCCGCCGUCGCCCCUCUCGCCGUCUACUUCGAGAGGUACGUGUUCCUUUCUCUUUUCUUUUCUUUUUUUCCUCGCCCACCUUGAAAGUAUUCAAGGGUAUUCAUUCAGUUGAAUACCUUUUUUUGCGAAAAAGAUCUAAUCAUAUAAAUUGCGGUAUACUUCCUCCGUCACAUAAAGAUCAUUUCCAGUCUUAAUUUUGUUUUUGUUUUUGUUUUUGUGCUUCUUCUUUUGCCGAGGCGGCGAGGCCCAUCUUGAAAGUAUUCAAGGGUAUUCGGGUUGAGUGCUCUUUUUUUUUGCGAAAAGUCACAGGCUCGACUCGACGAGAAAAUCCAUCAGGCGGCUUUGCGUCUAGAGGAUCCAGAUGUGGGAGGAGGACGAGAUCAGGGCGGCAAUCAGAUCCUGAUGGCGUCCCCUUCCUGGCCAUACUCGCCACAAAUACUCCCUUGGCUGCACUAUCCCUUAAACCCAUCAAUGCCGAUGUGCAAUCCCACAACAGCCCAAACCAUAUAUAAGUCUCAGCUACUGCCCAAAUUCUUGCCAGCCUCUACCUCAUUAAACCACAGUUGCAAACAUUGGGUAGAUUGAAAGACCUCACAGGAGUCCACUCUGGUUGACACAUGUUGCUAAGUGUGAGAUCUGGCUACGCAUGGGCAUGCAUGGGUGGCACCAAGAUUACUUUUUCCAAAAGGUUACCAAGAGCUUUGUCAGCUCUUGUCGAAAGUAUAUUAGAAGAAGAAGAGAAAGAGGUCAAACGCUCCAGGCUCUCUUCCUGGCAUUCUACAUUGAAUCUAAGUUACCAAAUUUUUCACUUGAAUCUAUACUCUAUAUGUUGUAUGCUGGACAAUAUAAUUACCAUGAACCGUAUUUUCUUUUGGUAGCUAAUUAAAGUUGACACCUCAGUUGUAAAUUAUUAGCACAGGGCCUACAAUAGUUAGGGACUCAUAAUUUAUUUCAUGUUUUUGUUGCAGGGAAAUUUGGAAAGAGAUAAACUGGUCUGUAUGCUGCUGGAUUUUUGCAAAUGCUGCGUUUGGGUGAGCACUCGAACUCAUCAGUAAUGUUUUCUGAACUCAGCUUGUUAGUCCGUACGGUUGUAUGUAUAUUCUCUGUUAUGGUCCAAUACUUUAUACAAUUUCCUUAGGAAACCGAACCAGUUUCAUUAGUAGCUGAUAUAACUAGUACAUUACAAGGACGCAGUGCAUCUCUUUCAAGCGUGUACAUACCUUGUUUCUUGCCUCUAAUAUUGCAGAGACGUCCUGGCAAUGGGCCUGUAUUUCUACGGGCUGCGGACGACCAGCGCUGCUUACUCUUCUAUCUUCCUCAACCUGAUCCCAAUUGCCACCUUCGUCACUGCGAUAGUGCUACGGUAUGUAUGAUCAAUAAUUCUCAACGUGAUUACACAGUGUGAUUGCGUUUAACGUGUCUGUGUGUUGAUCUCCGUUUAGGGCUGAGAAUCUAGCACUGGGACAGUGGCCAGGAAAGAUGAAGCUGCUUGGCGCGCUGCUCUGCGUCGGCGGAACCAUGCUGGUAAGCCUGCUGAAAGGCCCGCCGCUGCAUCUUUGGCCCACCAACCUGCUCGGGUACUCCCAGGCACCUGCAGCCAACGCGACGGGUGCUCACCACAACAUGGUGGUAGGUACCCUCUGGUUGUGUGGCAGCUGCAUGAGCUAUGCACUCUACUUCAUCGUCCAGGUAAUACAAACCGCUACAGUCUUUUUCCUUAUUACCAUUUGGACGGCUAAAAAAAAAACCUAUCAGGAAAGGCUUGUGAAGGUGUUCCCGUCAACCUAUUGGAUGACGUCGCUCACGUCGCUGGUGGGGAGUAUUCAGGCCUUGGUGGUGGGUGUGUUCCUCGUCCGUGACAGAGCGGAAUGGAAGCUCCACUGGAACCUGGAGCUCCUGACUGUCGUGUAUUCGGUACGAGCUGGUCUAUUCGGUAUCUCGUACCUUAAUUAUUACAGAGUUUUAACCCCUUUUUUUUUUGUGAUGAUCAGGGUGUACUCAACACCGGCCUCGCGUUUCUGCUGCUCUCGUGGGUGAUCCGCCGGAGUGGACCCAUCUACCCGACCAUGUUCAACUCAGUUUGCUUGGUUAUGACCACUGUUCUCGACUCGGUCCUCCUUGGCACCCAGAUCUACCUUGGGAGGUGAGCAGCGAGUCUACUAGCUCUCUACACACGACUGUUUGAUCAUGGAUUUUAGCAACACUUAUAUCUGCAUGUGCAGCGUUCUCGGGACAGUCAUAAUCGUGGUGGGAAUGUAUGCGUUCCUUUGGGGCAAGGGUACCGAGCUCAAGCGCGCCGCGAUGGCGAAGGCAUCACCGACCCAGGAGGCGUAGCAGGACCAGCUGAAAGGUGGACUAGGAGUAGGAUAAUACCCGUAGUCUUUGCCGCUUGUCAUGGUUGAUACAGUAACGUAUUGUAUGAGUUGCUGUAAACUGAUUGGAGACCAAGCACCUCGGUGGUUACUCUUCCUUGCCCGUAGGUUGGACUUCUUCUCGAUACUGUACCUCCUUGUGUUAAGUGGAAUCUCAAGAAAUAAUGGGCGCAUAUAUGCCAGAGCCCAGAGGAAUUGGGCACAACAACUCCGAGCAUUGUUAUUGGAAAACAUUCAGUUUGAUGUAGGCAAGGAUGGAAGCAGAGCAUUGUUAUUGGAAAGCUCUUGGUAAGCUGUUUGGUUCCAGGAGAAUUUCUUUGUUCACAGUUCACACUAUAUGUAUACACACACCUGAUUUUUCUAGGAAGGUAAGAACGCUAGAACGGUAUGUAGGGGCAAAACUGGCCAUGUGCAUCCAGGAUUGUCUAGUGAUUGCAAUGUGCUCCGUUCAAGGUGGAUGUAGUGAAGUUCAGCUGUAGCCCUGCUAAUGGGGCUGAGCCCGCCCCUACCCGCAGCAGCCGAGAUAAUGGAUGCUCGGAAGAAUACGUGAGCUCGGUCGGUCGGUCGGAAGCUAGGUAAACCACAUUUGCUUCCGUUGCGACGCUGGCUUGCAGAGUUAAGUCUUCUUCUCCAACCCAGGGAGGAGGUCUCCCUUCCUUUCCUUGUCCCAGAUUCCAUUCCAUUCCUUCCUAUCUUUCCUUCCAUCCUUCCUGUUUCUCCUUCUCUUGCAAACAUGCUGGCCAAGCCACCUCACCUGUGUGCCAACUAAGGUCUUAAAUCUCCGAGUAUAGCUGUCGAGCUAUAGCCGGGUAUAGCUGUUUGAGGCUCAUCAAACUAUUUGUGUUUAUGUACAACUUAGCGGCUAUAACCUCAUUUAACUCCGCUAUAACUGUUUUAGAGGUCAUCCGCUAAAUAGUUUUAGCCGGAGAUUUAAAACCUUGGUGCCAACACAUCGUAGCAUGUACUUUCUUUUCGUACCCGCGUUAGGACUUAGGCACUUCACCUGCUCAGUACCACAACCUGCAUCCCUCAAACAUGAUACGAUGCUCAAACAAUACAAACCGAAAUAACCUUGCAGGCUUGGGCACAAGAAAUAAAAAGUACUAGAGUUUCAUGCAGCAAUAAUGUAUGCACGAGAAGCAUCACACAACAGCAGAUGCUUUCAGUUUCAGCACCAUGUUAUUACAGGCUAAGAAACAAAAGGCUAAGGCUGCAGUUAUCGGAUUUCUAAUGCAGCAACUGCUCGUACGCUAACUAAGCAGGGCCAAUUGUUACGCCCCAGGAUCCAGCUACUGGAUCCCGACUCGUCGAAUUCAUCGCACCAUCUACCAGCGCCCCCCCAGGACAAACUGAUGACUGCACGGCUGCUCCAUGAAUUUGUCCCGUCAGUCAUCCAGGUUCACUCCGUAGCGGUGAGCCAGGUUCUUGAUGGCUCCAUUCUGCAUCACCAGGUCCAGCAUUUCGUACUUCUUGCAGUUCGCAUCAAGAGCUUCCUGCUGCUGCUUUGCUAGUUCCUUCUCCUCGUCCAAUAGAUUCUGAGACGGUUAAAACAGCAGCACCAUGUCAGUAUUUUCAUGUCUAAUUUUCAAAUGAAGAACAAAGUAACAGCAUCCACCAACUAUCAAUAUUGUAGUUAGGUGCAAACACAGUACUUGGACAUGCACCAAUCUGGCAGGUAUGCAUAUUUUUCAUAUAAUUUAAGGAUCUCUGAUUAAAGGAAUUAACAAACACCCAGUGUAUUGGACAAGUGUAUUAAAAGUAAAGCAUAUCCAUUUGCGCACAUAUACUCCAGGCUGACAAACCAUACAUCACUCCAGAAUGGAUAUUAUUUCCAUAUAGGCAUGUAACUUCCCCAAUUGUUCCAUUCUAGGAUUAUAAAUGAAAAACACUAGGUCCCACUCUUUCAUGUUUAGCCCGAUGUUCUUAAGGUGGUAAUGCAAUUUGCAGUGACUCGCCGCCUUCUUAUCACCUAGGCGAUAAACGUAAUGUGGUAAGGCAGUCGGGGCGACAGCCAUACUCACACAUAUUAGACAACAAAAAUCAAAAUAGCUUACUAAAGCCCAAUCCAAGCUACAGCCCAUAAAGCAUCCCUUCCCGUGCCCUAGUCUCCCAAUGCCAUCCACAGCAUGUCACCUUUCUCCUUAAGAUUUGGGGACAACUUGCCCCUAGCAAGCGCCUUGUCGCUUAAGUGACCACUAGGCGUGUUCAGUCUAACCAUUGAAAUAAACAGAGCAAACAGUAAAACCAACUUUUAAUGGUACACAAAGGCAUAUCAACAUAACAUGCAUAAUUUUGCAGGACUUAAUGCGCUAGCAUAGCAAAGCUUGACAGACUGCAGUCACAAGGCAACUAACAAGUUUACCUUUAUGAGAGCCAUGUUCUCUGACUCUUGCUUCUUUGCAAGGUUUUUCAGUUUCUUCAUUGUCUCACACUCGUCAUCUCCUUGUUUUACCCAGCGGAACUCUUUCUUGAGGCCAGGGCAGGGAGGUCGAUCCCUGAACAUCUCAGCCUUUGCAUGGGUAGCUUUUACAGGCCUUGGCAUCCCACCAAUUAUGAAUGGGAAAUCAGUCAUCAACUCGACAGCAG